rnacentral:rRNA from 1 species
CACGUAGGGGGCAAGCGUUGUCCGGAAUCAUUGGGCGUAAAGAGCUCGUAGGCGGCUCGGUAAGUCGGGUGUGAAACCCCCAGGCUCAACCUGGGGACGCCACCCGAUACUGCUGUGGCUAGAGUCCAGUAGGGGAGUGUGGAAUUCCCGGUGUAGCGGUGAAAUGCGCAGAUAUCGGGAGGAACACCAGCGGCGAAGGCGGCACUCUGGGCUGGAACUGACGCUGGGAGCGA